rnacentral:rRNA from 1 species
UACGUAGGGGGCAAGCGUUAUCCGGAUUUACUGGGUGUAAAGGGAGCGUAGGCGGCGAUGCAAGUCAGAAGUGAAAGCCCGGGGCUCAACUCCGGGACUGCUUUUGAAACUGUUGAACUAGAUUGCAGGAGAGGUAAGUGGAAUUCCUAGUGUAGCGGUGAAAUGCGUAGAGAUUAGGAGGAACAUCAGAGGCGAAGGCGGCUUACUGGACCAUAACUGACGCUGAGGCUCGAAAGCGUGGGGAGCAAACAGG